rnacentral:rRNA from 1 species
AUCCCCAGUCGAGCGGCGAACGGGUGAGUAACGCGUGGAUGACCUGCCCUUCAGCGGGGAAUAACCCGGGGAAACUCGGGCUAAUACCGCAUACGACCGAGAGGUGAAAGGGGGCCGCAAGGCUCACACUGAAGGAGGGGUCCGCGUUCGAUUAGCUAGUGGGUAGGGUAAAGGCCUACCAAGGCGACGAUCGAUAGCCGGCCUGAGAGGGUGAUCGGCCACACUGGAACUGAGACACGGUCCAGACUCCUACGGGAGGCAGCAGUGGGGAAUUUUGCGCAAUGGGCUAACGCCUGACGCAGCAACGCCGCGUGGAGGAUGAAGGUCUUUGGAUUGUAAACUCCUGUCAGCAGGGAAAAAGGGAAGUGACCUAAUACGUCAUUGACUUGAUUGUACCUGCAGAGGAAGCCCCGGCUAACUCUGUGCCAGCAGCCGCGGUAAUACAGAGGGGGCAAGCGUUA